rnacentral:rRNA from 1 species
AUGCAGUCGAGCGGACAGAAGGGAGCUUGCUCCCGGAUGUUAGCGGCGGACGGGUGAGUAACACGUGGGUAACCUGCCUGUAAGACUGGGAUAACUCCGGGAAACCGGAGCUAAUACCGGAUAGUUCCUUGAACCGCAUGGUUCAAGGAUGAAAGACGGUUUCGGCUGUCACUUACAGAUGGACCCGCGGCGCAUUAGCUAGUUGGUGAGGUAACGGCUCACCAAGGCGACGAUGCGUAGCCGACCUGAGAGGGUGAUCGGCCACACUGGGACUGAGACACGGCCCAGACUCCUACGGGAGGCAGCAGUAGGGAAUCUUCCGCAAUGGACGAAAGUCUGACGGAGCAACGCCGCGUGAGUGAUGAAGGUUUUCGGAUCGUAAAGCUCUGUUGUUAGGGAAGAACAAGUGCAAGAGUAACUGCUUGCACCUUGACGGUACCUAACCAGAAAGCCACGGCUAACUACGUGCCAGCAGCCGCGGUAAUACGUAGGUGGCAAGCGUUGUCCGGAAUUAUUGGGCGUAAAGGGCUCGCAGGCGGUUUCUUAAGUCUGAUGUGAAAGCCCCCGGCUCAACCGGGGAGGGUCAUUGGAAACUGGGAAACUUGAGUGCAGAAGAGGAGAGUGGAAUUCCACGUGUAGCGGUGAAAUGCGUAGAGAUGUGGAGGAACACCAGUGGCGAAGGCGACUCUCUGGUCUGUAACUGACGCUGAGGAGCGAAAGCGUGGGGAGCGAACAGGAUUAGAUACCCUGGUAGUCCACGCCGUAAACGAUGAGUGCUAAGUGUUAGGGGGUUUCCGCCCCCUUAGCGCUGCAUCUAAC